AACGAACGCUGGCGGCGCGUCUUAACCAUGCAAGUCGAGCGGCAGGCAGCAAUGCCGAGAGCGGCGGACUGGUGAGUACCACGUGGAUAACGUACCCCGAUGUCCGGGACAGCCUGUAGAAAUAGAGGGUAAUACCGGAUAGAUCACUGUUUACGUGAGGUAGACAGCGGGAAAGGAGCUUCGGCUCCGCGACGGGAUCGGUCUGCGGCCCAUCAGCUGGACGGCGGGGUAAAGGCCCGCCGUGGCGAGGACGGGUAUCCGGCCUGAGAGGGCGGACGGACACAUUGGGACUGAGAUACGGCCCAGACUCCUACGGGAGGCAGCAGGUAAGAAUAUUCCGCAAUGGGGGGAACCCUGACGGAGCGACGCCGCGUGAACGAAGAAGGCCGGAAGGUUGUAAAGUUCUUUUCUGUCCGAGGAAUAAGUUUCGGAGGAAAUGCCGGGACGGUGACGGUAGGGCAGGAAUAAGCACCGGCUAAUUACGUG
rnacentral:rRNA from 1 species